GACGAACGCUGGCGGCGUGCUUAACACAUGCAAGUCGAACGGAAAGGCCCUGCUUUUGUGGGGUGCUCGAGUGGCGAACGGGUGAGUAACACGUGAGUAACCUGCCCUUGACUUUGGGAUAACUUCAGGAAACUGGGGCUAAUACCGGAUAGGAGCUCCUGCUGCAUGGUGGGGGUUGGAAAGUUUCGGCGGUUGGGGAUGGACUCGCGGCUUAUCAGCUUGUUGGUGGGGUAGUGGCUUACCAAGGCUUUGACGGGUAGCCGGCCUGAGAGGGUGACCGGCCACAUUGGGACUGAGAUACGGCCCAGACUCCUACGGGAGGCAGCAGUGGGGAAUAUUGCACAAUGGGCGGAAGCCUGAUGCAGCAACGCCGCGUGCGGGAUGAGGGCCUUCGGGUUGUAAACCGCUUUCGCCUGUGACGAAGCGUGAGUGACGGUAAUGGGUAAAGAAGCACCGGCUAACUACGUG
rnacentral:rRNA from 1 species